rnacentral:rRNA from 1 species
UGGGGAAUAUUGCACAAUGGGCGAAAGCCUGAUGCAGCAACGCCGCGUGAGUGAUGAAGGUCUUCGGAUUGUAAAGCUCUGUCUUUUGGGACGAUAAUGACGGUACCAAAGGAGGAAGCCACGGCUAACUACGUGCCAGCAGCCGCGGUAAUACGUAGGUGGCGAGCGUUGUCCGGAUUUACUGGGCGUAAAGGGUGCGUAGGCGGAUGUUUAAGUGAGAUGUGAAAUACCCGGGCUUAACUUGGGUGCUGCAUUUCAAACUGGAUAUCUAGAGUGCAGGAGAGGAGAAUGGAAUUCCUAGUGUAGCGGUGAAAUGCGUAGAGAUUAGGAAGAACACCAGUGGCGAAGGCGAUUCUCUGGACUGUAACUGACGCUGAGGCACGAAAGCGUGGGUAGCAAACAGGAUUAGAUACCCUGGUAGUCCACGCCGUAAAACGAUGAGUACUAGGUGUAGGAGGUAUCGACCCCUUCU